GUUUACCUUUGUUCGCUCUCAUGACCAUAUCCAAUCGAGAAAAUGUAGUAUAAUCAAAGAAACAUACUCUUCUUUUGCGGGUUGAUUCAUCUCUUUCUACCUCCAAGUCUUUCUCUGCCAACUUAAUUAAAAGUCCUUGAAAGUGACUCCAUUAAAUGUAAAGGAAAUUCACCAGAAAAUAUUGGGCAUUGUAUAGUUGUAUCCACAGAAGUCUCUUUCUUUUCCUACAAGAUAGAGAGAAGUAGAAACUUUGAAUGAUAAUCCAUUUGACAGUGGAUGAAAUCUGUCAGUUCCUUUCCAUUAUUGGGUUCAUUAAAUUCUCAUUUGUAAUAUAUAUAUAUUUUUUAACAUUUGUUUAGGUAGUCCUCGAUCCAUUGCCCUUGGGGAUCCAAAGCCAAAACUGGAAAAGAAAGCAAGAAGGAAAUAAGAAAAGAGAUACUUGGUCUUGCAAGAAAUGGUCAAUGAAGUACAAGGUUUUUGUCUGAUUUUGAUCAUUGGUUUCCAGUUUUGGGCCAAGGGAUCAAAUUAAAAUAACAUCAUGCCAAGAUUUCACUAUUAUUUUAUAUAUUUCAUUGCUCGUAUGUUUUAGAUCUGAGCUAAGGCAUUAAGGAGGCCUGUUGUCUCUGACAAAAAGUCCUCCUUAAUAAAAGCAAAUCAGAGGUAGAUUUGCAGCUCACAACAGAUAGCUGACACCCUCCAAAGACUCGGGGGUGUUAGAAUCUGGGCAGUGGAAUCAGAGUAGGUAUCAUAAAAGAUUCCCUUUUCCCAUUUAUUUUUUCCUCGAUUAAGAGUAAAAUGUAACUGGAUUAUUGGGUUUUCGUUAUUUUGCUCAAAGAAUCAGAGUGAUCACAAGGGUUUUGGUGUAGUGCUAGAAAUAUGGAUGAUUUUCCGAAGGUUUUGUGUGGGUGGAGCUGGGAGGAGAACAAAUUGUUUGAGCUGGCUUUGGCAGUGGUUGAUGAACAGGACCCAGAUCGGUGGGAAGUGGUUGCAGCCAUGGUCGGGGGAAAGAAGAGUGCAGAGGAUGUGCACAAACAUUAUGUGAGCCUUUUGGAGGAUUUGCAGGUCAUAGAAUCUGGUAAGCUGGACCAUAAACUGGGGGAACCUCAGCCUUAUCAUCAAGUUGAUUGCUCUCAAUCCAUAUGCUGGAGUGAUGGAGAUAACAACUUGCUCGUUCGAUUAGAUAUAAACUGAUCUCUGGAACCGACGGGCAAUUUACAAGAGAACACAUAGCCUGCCUGAACAGAGCUGCUGGUUAUAGUUGGUGCAUCUGUUUCAAGUUUUAUCCGUAGUUUGCGAAGAUUCUCUAUCGGAAGAUCCUAUAAUGGAUAAACACUACCAUUGCUUCUGAAGCACAAACUACAUGGAACUUUUCAGCAGACAUAGCACUCUAUUACCUGCAAUGAAACAAUUUGACAAUCAAGGCACAGUAACUUGGGUAGAUGACACUUACUUUUCUUCUUUUUAGCAGAUAUAAUUGCUGAGUGCACUUCAAAAGAUAUACAAAUCAAUGGAAUGCGAAUGAUCUGCAUAAAAAACAAAAAAAUAUGACAAAAUCACAAGCUAGUUAUAUAAUGCAACCUCAGAGACCAGAAAGAAAGUACCCAGGAGCUCACUCUUUCUUGAACAAACAUUGUAAUAUAUGCAAUUGUGUGUAGAAAUAAGGAAAUGUGUGAGAGAGAGUGAAACCAAAUUAAAAGAUUAAUGUAGGGGAGAGGAGAGAAAAGAGGAGAGAGGCACAGCCAGGGAAGAGGCAGUGCAUGAGUAGAGCCACAACAGGCUCCAAUCCUGUCGAUGGUUCCAUCCAUGCUCUGCCCACUCCCUGUCUAUGUUUGUUCUCUUGCUGUUGUCUCUCAAACUUCUCUUUCUCCUCACAUAUUCACCUUUACCUCACAUAUCUGUCACCAUCUCAACAAUUGUCAAAACAACAAUAAUCAAUCUCCCAACAAUGAGAUUUUUGCCUCAAAACUUCUGUUUUUACCACAGGCUCAGGCUGCUUCUGUUUAUGGCUAUGCUCUGUCAUUUUGCUCUAUAUAUAAUGCCAAGAAGGCAAAGGGAGGUUGUCGUACAUGUACAAGAACUUUGAGAUUUUUAGUUGAACAAGCUGGCUAUGUACUACCUCUUUUGUGUACUGACAGAAAAUAAAAGUCAGAAGGAGAAAAUAAACGUACUACCCCUCUUUGCUCCUUGUA